rnacentral:rRNA from 1 species
AUAGCGUAUAUUAAAGUUGUUGCAGUUAAAAAGCUCGUAGUUGAACUUCGAACCUGGCUGGGUGGUCUGCCUUCACGGUAUGUACUGCCCGGCCGGGUUCUACCUCUUGGUGAGCCGGCAUGCCCUUUACUGGGUGUGUCGGGGAACCAGGACUUUUACCUUGAGAAAAUUAGAGUGUUCAAAGCAGGCCUUCGCCCGAAUACAUUAGCAUGGCAUAAUAAAAUAGGACGUGCGGUUCUAUUUUGUUGGUUUCUAGAGUCGCCGUAAUGAUUAAUAGGGAUAGUUGGGGGCAUUUGUAUUCCGUUGCUAGAGGUGAAAUUCUUGGAUUUACGGAAGACAAACUACUG